rnacentral:lncRNA from 1 species
AUAAAUCGUAUCAAAGAAUUAAAAUUGAUCGUUCUUUGUAACAACUUUUUAUAGAUUCGAGGAGAGCAUUCAUUCUUGUAUUUCACAAGAUUAUUAUUACACGAUUUGGAAAUUGCGACGAAGUAUACAAAACAUUUUAUUUAUCGUCAAAGAUAAAUAAUUUUCUUCGUUCGAGGGGUUUGAAGGAGAAACAUUGCGACAUCGAUCGUCUUCGAACCGUUUCGUCGUAUGAAACGAGAUAACGAGGGAAAUAAUGGGACGGCAAAGUGCACUUCAGACUCGGGUUGCGUACUCUUCGCUUGUCGAUCGCAAUGUUUAAGGAUCGAUCGACGAUCUCAUUGUGCGCUUGUGGAUGAUUUAUCAGCCGACCGACAUAAAUUUCGCAGCGUGUAUUAAAGGCGUAAUCCUCCCUUCAAUGUCCGCAAUUUAGGAACAAUUUAAAUUUAAAGUCGGAAACAGUUGGGAGAAUUGUGCAAACUCGAGAAACUCGAGAAAAACUUUUCAACGCUUGAAAAGUAUUCCUAGAACUGGCGUAACGUGAUAAUCCGCGAAGAAGAACGGACGCAGUCCACUGACCAAAGACCAAGGAGACGAGGCUCAACGAAGGCGAAGAAGAAAAAGAAGAAGAGGAGGAGGAGGAGGAAGAAUACAAAGAAGAAGAAAGAGGAGGAAGAAGGAGGCCGGGAACAAAUUAUAUAAAAGGACCACACACGGUGCACAAGAGGGGGCAAGGAGGCCUCGGACUGCUCGAGCAUGUGGUACAGGCGAAAUAUAUACGACUUCUCCGUGACUAUGCCCGGGGAUUUACCUUACGUCCAGCGUUUGAAUCGCUCGUUUAGGAUGAAAAGGAUCGGUGGCUCGACAGCUCCGCGCCACGUGGGUGGUGCGAGCGCCAACGGACCCCGGAAGGAUCUCACGCUCACCCCCGCCGACGAGAUCCCUCCGAGAUUUAAUGCGACACUGGCAAAUCGUCGAACCCGUGGAAAAAGAAUAGAAUAAUUCAAUUUUUCGUUUUCGUUUAUUAAAAUUAAUCAUCUUAUAUAUUUAUAUAAUUUUUCUUUUUUUAAGAUAUUCAUCCAUUUAUGAAUUAAAGGAAAAAAUAAAUAUUGUGGAAACUAAAAGGAUAAGCGUCAAGGUAUUCAUCCACUUAUGGAUUAAAAGAAAAAAUAAAGAUUGUGGAAACUAAAAGGAUAAGCGUCAAGGUUUUUUUUUUAAGGUAUUACUUUAGUCUAAACUAAAAUUUUAUUCGAAAUGAGAAAAAUACAAUUCAUCCACUUAUGGAUUAAAGGAAAAAAUAAAGAUUGUGAAAACUUUAAAAGGUAUUCAUCCAUUUAUAGAUUAAAGGAAAAAAUAAAGAUUGUAGAAAUUUUAAAAGGAUAAGCAUGAGUAAUCUGGGUAUUCAUCCACUUAUGGAUUAAAGGAACAAAAUAAUGAUUGUGAAAACUUUAAAAGGUAUUCAUCCACUUAUGGAUUAAAGGAACAAAAUAAUGAUUGUGAAAACUUUAAAAGGUAUUCAUCCACUUAUGGAUUAAAGGAGCAAAAUAAUGAUUGUGAAAACUUUAAAAGGUAUUCAUCCACUUA